rnacentral:lncRNA from 1 species
AAAUAAAAUGUAACACUAAUUAAAUAAAAAUAAAAUUUUGUUGGAAUGAAAUACAAACAUGAAAUGAAAUAUAAAUUCCUAUGAAAUGAAAUGUGAAGUGGAUAUUUUUGUGGCUUAUCAGACUGGGUUGUUGGGUUUGUUGGCCGGAUCCAUAAUCCAGACCCGACAGCAUAUAAGGGUUUGGAACCCUUUGGAUCAUGUCAUCUCUUCUGUUCCUUUUGUCUUUCUCUUCAAAACUCUAGCCAACCUUCUGAAAUCCUAGCCGCCUUAUGUUGGAGAUGGGUGUGUCCUGC